GAACCGUACAAACGUUAUUCGGAAUCACUGGGCUUAAAGGGUGCGUAGGCGGCGGUGCAAGUUGGGUGUGAAAUCCCUCGGCUCAACCGAGGAACUGCGCUCAAAACUGCAUUGCUCGAGGGAGAUAGAGGUGAGUGGAACUUAGGGUGGAGCGGUGAAAUGCGUUGAUAUCCUAAGGAACACCAGUGGCGAAAGCGACUCACUGGGUCUCUUCUGACGCUGAGGCACGAAAGCUAGGGUAGCGAACGGGAUUAGAUACCCCGGUAGUCCUAGCCGUAAACGAUGAGCACUGGGUUGAAGGGUCCCUCAUAGCCCUCCAGCCGUAGCGAAAGUGUUAAGUGCUACGCCUGGGGAGUAUGGUCGCAAGGCUG
rnacentral:rRNA from 1 species